CCAUAAAGAACAUAUAUUUUUUUGGAUGCUGUGUCAAGGCAUAGUUCUUCCCUUCCCCAACCCCCGCACGUCAUUAGCACAGCACAGUAUCCUCCACUUUCUGACUUGGCAGAAGAAGAGCCUAGUGCCUGGAAAGUGAGGGAAGGGAAGCAUGAUAUUUUUUUUUUUUUACUAGAAGUUUUUCUGGAACCCACCUCUUAAGGACCCGUGCCUUAAAAAAGUAGGAGUUACCAGGAUUUUCCUUCCUAAAGGUUGUAUUUGAAGGAACUAGACCAGGUUCUCCCUGGUCCACACCCACACUGUCCCCAUCUCCGAUCCCACUUCAUGCAUUUCCAAGGAGGCAAUGUGGCCUUUCCUGCCCCCACCCCCACCCCGUAAUGCUAAUGUGUAGGGGGCAGGGGAGAGGUUCUACUAGGCAAUCUGUAAAGUCCCUUACACUUCUUACUCUAAAGCUCCCCCUUUACUUUGGCAUUCAGUAGAGCAAGCUGAGUUUGGGAAUACAACCCUGAAGAAAAGGAGGUGAUGGCCCCACGCCUAAACAGCUUUUUGAAGAGCCAAAGUGGCAGUACUUGGAGAAGCAGCUGCAUAGAGCAGCGGGCCUGGAGUCUGUUAGACCUAAUUUUCCUGCAGCAUUCACAGAAAGGAAAAGAAGAAAGCAACUUCAGGAACUUGUUCGUGGGGGUACAACACCGGCAGAAGUUGAACCAGCCAUCAGCCAGUUCAGACCAAUUCAUUGUGGCAAAGUAGACCCGGAGUCAGAAAUAUCAAUUCUAUCACUUCGGCCACAUCAAUUGGACAGAAAGGGGUCAAGAAGUUAAAAGGAAGCUUCCUUCCCUACUCUUUGCUCUUGACUUGGAGAAAGUCCCAGAAAUCAAGUUUGGGGCAGACUGACAUUGCAGAGUUACCCAAGCCUAAAAUGAAAGUCUGUUUUUGGAAUGGGCAUUUCAGCAGCUCUUAUAGUCAAUGAGCAUUUAUUAAGCACCUAUUAUGUGCCAAGCACUGUGCUAAGCUCUGUGUUAAGCAAAAGGAAUACA